rnacentral:miRNA from 1 species
CUAUGCAAUUUUCUACCUUACC